CCUACGGGAGGCAGCAGUAGGGAAUAUUGCUCAAUGGGGGAAACCCUGAAGCAGCAACGCCGCGUGGAGGAUGAAGGUUUUCGGAUUGUAAACUUCUUUUGUUAGAGAAGAGAAUGACGGUAUCUAACGAAUAAGCACCGGCUAACUCCGUGCCAGCAGCCGCGGUCAUACGGAGGGUGCAAGCGUUACGUGGAAUGACUGGGCGUAAAGAGCGCGGAGGCGGGAUAGCAAGUCAGAUGUGAAAUCCUAUGGCUUAACCAUAGAACUGCAUUUGAAACUGGUAUUCUAGAGUAUGGGAGAGGUAGGUGGAAUUCUUGGUGUAGGGGUGAAAUCCGUAGAGAUCAGGAGGAAUACUCAUUGCGAAGGCGACCUGCUAGAACAUAACUGACGCUGAUGCGCGAAAGCGUGGGGAGCAAACAGGAUUAGAUACCCGGGUAGUC
rnacentral:rRNA from 1 species